AAUCAUACUUCUCUUCCUGAUUUUUCUCUCUCCCUUUCUUCCAAUCCCCUAUUUUUGUUUCUCUGUGCCUGGAAAGUGUUUGAUGAAAAUCCAAUAAGGCUGGAAGGGCAGUAUUAAUCUAUGUUAGUCAUCUGAUUUCUUUUUUCUAUUAUUUAGUUCCAGUAGAAAAUAACAAGUUGAGUAGACCGACUAGCUUUUUGCAAUUUAGGUAUUGAAGAAGAUCAUCGUGACUGCUUUUUCUUUCAUGCAAUAGUUCAGGUUUAUUGUUCUUAGUUUUUCUGUAGUGGUUAAUUUGAUUGCUAUGGAUUAAAAUCUAGAGCUACCUUAUAAUACUGCUUGAAAAUAGCUUUGGCUCUUCACACAUGGGAGUAAUAGGACAGUUUGCGUUCCUAAUUUUCUUUUCUCUGUAUAUGUACAUAGUUUCCAGAUUCUAAUUGUUUGCUACUGAAGCUUAUGUUUUUCUUUUUCGGAAUUGGGUGCGUAUGAACAAUGCAACGGAGGUUAUGUUAAUUCCUAGAGUCUUAUAUGUUCUUUUGUCUCCUGGUGAUUACUUUGAAUGGCUGUGUGAGGAACACAGGUUGCAAUUCCAGUUUCAUCGACGGACUCGCUCGCUGCUCUAGAAGGUGCUUUGGCUUGUUUCUCUGACCGAUUUAUUGGGACAUCUCACAUGGAUCUUCAUGCCUCAUAUACCUAUUUUUUAUUCUCUCGUCAAUUCCACAUGUCUGCUCGUCCAUUGCACGGUACUAGAUGGUCCCUGUUAAGUUAAUUCAAGGUACAUCCCAUCAGGACUAUUAUUUGAUUUGUUGGAUUAAUUUAUUUCAGAUAGCUUACUCCAGGUUGAAUCUCUUUGUCAUUGAAACUUCAUUGAGAAGACAGACAACAAUAAACUUUGCAAAUGCGACCCUAGCUGUUCCAAUAUAUUGCCAUAUUAUGGUUUUGUUUUAUUUUUUAUUGCUUCCUAUUGUUUGCUUUGUUUGAACUGCAUUUUAUAGCCAGGUUUUUUGUUGCUUUUAUUUUGUUUAGGUGGGUUCUAAACCAUUAAAGCAGAAAACAUACUGUUUAUAAAAAGUAUACAUAGUAUUGUAGAUUUAUGUUCACCAAUUAUCCAGAACGUUGACCUGGAGUCCUCCUUUUACAUAUUUGGUCUUCUUGGAAUCAAGCAAAAAUUACUAAGAAGCACAUAACUGAUUAUUUCUUCUGCUUAGCCUCAUUUUUGUCAUGCACAUAGGUGGGUAAGGUUUGAAUCUCUAUAAGACUCACAGUCAGGUACGACUGGAGGCAUAUUAUGUAAGUGCAUGUCUACUGUUAUGAGGUUUCAGUUUUCGACUCUAUGCAAUUCUCGGUGCAAGGGCCCCCGCUUCCUUGUUGUGACGUUGCAGCCUCACCGGCCCUUCUGCAGGCAAGAGUUAUGUCCAGAUGAGCUAACCCUUUACUAUCCAAACCUUCUGAAGGUCAUUAGCUCUGAUUCUUUGGAAAAAAGGUUGAGAGCUAUACACAAUAACGCUAAAGAUGGAGCGGCCUGCCAUGUAUUAGGGCAUACACAUUUCUGUUGGGAUUAUGCGGUUGACAAUAUCAGGUAUGUACAAGCGCCUCUGGCAUACCCUCGAGAAAGAAAGCGAAGGAUAAAUGGAGGCCAAGGAUGGCUGCCGUUUUUUGUAUAUUGUGAUGGCUUCAACCCUGAAACAAGAAUAGAAGGGAGCCUGAGAACACUCAGCUUGCGCCAUGGCAGUCUGACUAUUACAACAAGACAGAAGAGAGCCGGAGAACACUCAGCUUGCACUGUGGGUUGCCAAAUAUUUUUCAAUAUAGUAUGGACCCCCUGUGUUUGCUCGAGUGUAUUGUACACCAAAAUCAUGAGAGCUCCACACAUAAAUUUUGCCCAGACAUACUAUGUUCCUUCAAGUGUAAGCAUUUGAAAUUCUUGAUGCAUUUGAGACGGUGGAAACGAGAGAAGCUGGGAUCGUAGCACUGACCAUGACUGUGAUUGCUAGAGCUCUAAGAGAUAGACGGAGGUCUCAACUGGCUGGGAAGAUUUGACAAGAGAUGUGGAGAUGGGGCACGGGGAGGGGAGGACGAGUCGGCCUGGAGGCCCCGGUUGUGGCUUCAACUAGGCAGGCUUGGGACUCGCGGUGGCGGGCGGCCUCACGCUGGAGCUGGUCCUGGCGGGCGGCCUCGGCCUCGUCCACACGGACUUCUCCUGGUUGUUGAACUGGUUGAGGGUCAUCCAACUUCUUGUUUAUCAGGUUACUGUUUGAUAAAAUGCAAGAUAUUUCUGUUUGGAAGGGUUUCCUAACAUCCGGACAGGUCAUACUUUUGCAAGAUACAUGCGAGGAUUGCUGUGUCCAACCUGCACAAGAAUGCCAAGAAGUUCUCGAAGACGUAAGCCACGACGUAUGUUUCUACCAUGAUUUCCUUCAGUUGGAUUUCGUGGAUUUAGGUGUUGAAAAAUUAUGGGCUGUGGAUGGCUGCUUCUUUGUGGCUUCCAAAUUUAAAAUGUUUGUUUGAGAGUUAGUUUAGUUUCUGUUAUGGAUUCACAGCUUCUCACAUGUACCAUCCUCUUAGACCUUUAGAUUUCCAAAGAAACAAAAUGAAGAUAUCAUGGAAUGGUCUCAAUAGUAUAGCUUAAAGCUUUUCAUGCUUUAUAUUUUCUUUGAAAUUUGCUCGUGAAGAAUCAUGUAUCUAUGUUAGAUUUGGUGAGAAAAGACGUUUUCCAAGCA